rnacentral:rRNA from 1 species
GUCGUCAGCUCGUGUCGUGAGAUGUUGGGUUAAGUCCCGCAACGAGCGCAACCCCUAUCUUUAGUUACCAUCAUUCAGUUGGGGACUCUAAAGAUACUGCCCCGGUUAACGGGGAGGAAGGUGGGGAUGACGUCAAGUCCUCAUGGCCCUUAUGCCCAGGGCUACACACGUGCUACAAUGGACUGUACAAAGGGUUGCAACCCCGCGAGGACGGGCUAAUCCCAAAAAGCAGUCCUAAGUUCGGAUUGGAGUCUGCAACUCGACUCCAUGAAGUUGGAAUCGCUAGUAAUCGUGGAUCAGCACGCCACGGUGAAUACGUUCCCGGGCCUU